AUUGAACGCUGGCGGCAGGCCUAACACAUGCAAGUCGAACGCGUGGCGGACGGGUGAGUAUUGUCUGUGAACCUGCCCGAUGGAGGGGGAUAACUACUGGAAACGGUAGCUAAUACUGCAUACCAUCGGAUGUGCCCAGAUGGGGUUCGCUAGUGGGUGGGGUAAGGGCUCACCUAGGCGACGAUCCGUAGCUGGUCGGAGAGGAGGACAAGGUCCACUGGGACGGAGAUGAGGUCCAGACUCCUACGGGAGGGGACGGAGGGGAAAAGUACACAAUGGGCGCAGGCGUAAUGCGACCAUGCCGCGUAGAUUAAAAAGGGCAUCGGGUUGUAAAGUUCUUUUAGCGAGGUAGCGGUACUCGCAGAAGAAGCACCGGCUAACUCCGUGCCAGCAGCCGCGGUAAUUC
rnacentral:rRNA from 1 species